rnacentral:lncRNA from 1 species
CUACAUCCCAUGAUAUUCCUUCUCUGUGCCUCAGAGUUUCUGGAAACUCUCUUCACAGUAAGAAGAACUAAAUGGACAUGUCCUGGGAGCUAAGGAGAGUAAACCCACUGGAAGCUGCCCCGCGUGAGCAGGAGCUCCCGUGCUGGGUGCUGCAGGACUGUUCAGCUCUGCUUUGGAAAUGAUAGACGAGAGAAGCUACACCCUGGGACAGGGCUGCUCUCUGUGGCCUGAGCCACUUCACAUUUUCCUUUUUUUCCCUUCUUCCCCACCCACCUUUCAUCGUCCUCAAAAACCCAUGUGUGUGAAGAACAACAGAGGAAUGUGGAUUUGAGAGGAGAAAACAAGACAGCUCAUCAUCUUGUUUGUGACCAACACAUUGAGGAAUAUGUGGCCAAAAAUUGGCAACUGGCUGUUUUCUUUUGGGAGACUUCAUCCUCUCAAGCAUCAUCACUUGAAGUCAUGAAAACCAUUCCCAUGCAUGCUUAUAUCUGCUGAUACAGCGAUGUAUAUGUGACCGGGAAACAGAAAGGAGAGAGACAGAAAGCAAAUUACACUUCUAGAUAGUUGAGUCACAUUGCAAAACACCUUUUUUAUUGGGGGUGAUAAUUUGACUUCAUUCCCUAAUAGAAGUAGAUUUAUGUGAUGGAUACCUGAUAUGCACUUUUCUGCCACUGUUCCUUCAGGACAGUGGUUAUAUUAUUUAGGAUUAGAUUGAACUGUGAGUAACAUUAGCCUGAAAUAGGAGCAGCUUAAAACCGAUAAAAGAUUUUCUUCAUUUGUGGAGAAUCCUUGGCUUCAGUGGCUCUAUUCAUGAAAUCCUUUUUGGCAUCCAAAGAUUUUACAGCUCAAGGUGGGGUUCUCAAUUUCAUAGUCCAAGCCAGUGAUUGUCAUGUCACCUUCAAAGUAAUCGCAUGAACUCUCCAAAAGUGUUCUGCUUUUUUCAUGAGCGCCCGACUUUUGGCCAUAGGCAUUAAGCACUUCAGUGAAGGUUUGCCAGAGAUAGGGAGCUGUGGAUUGAGAUGGCAUAGUUUCAAGUCUGAGCUGCACAGCCUCUAGAUCUUGUGGACUUGAGUGUGAUGUCUGUGAGUUUGUGCUUGUAUCAUUUGGAAAUCUGAAAUUAUAAAAGUGCCUCAGAGCAGAAUAAUGAUAAAAAAACAAUUGCCUGCCUAAAAGACUCAGCACACUGAUCAUCAUCAUAGCAGGGACCUGUUGUGCAGAGUUUUCACUUCCCUGCUGAGCAGCUUCUUUUCUUCAUGGGAAAUCAAGCUGUGUUUAGAAUCUGGAGGUUCUCUCCAGGGAGCAAGUCUUCAGUCCGUCCUCCAUGGUGCUAUGUGCUUCUCAUAAUUGAGUGUCCCAGUUAGAGGGAAACUAGUAUAAAGCAGCAACCCCACUGCAUGGUCCACCUCCAGUGAAGUGGGCUUUAUUCUAUAAUUGCAGUUUUUAUCUGUGAGGAAUAUGGUGGGUAUUGGUAAAUAUUCACUUCUUUUUCCUAUCAUAGGACAUUUUGUUGUGGUGGUGGUGGUUUUAGAAAAGAACUGUGAUCAGUAGGUUCUACAACCUACCAUUUUAGUUCAUUCCAACAAGUGCAUCUUAAUGAAAGAAUAAAAUAAAAAGUAAAAUGCGUUAGAAAUAAAUC